GUCACAGCCCGUCCCAAAGUUUUACACUCGUGAUUGUAAAUUGACGGAAUUUCCCUUAAACGUGAUUAAGAUAUGUGAAUCAUAUAUUGGUGAAAUAUAUGUUUCUAAGUUAUUUGGAGAUGGAAUUUUAUGAUUUGGGGUUAGGUAGGACCACACACCUCAAAUCCCUCCCUAUUUCCCGUACCCUGUCUCUCUCUCUCCUCCCUCACAAUCUCUCAUUCUCUGUCUCUCUCCCUCUCCUUCGAACUCACACAGACGAGCUCCAAAACCACCCUAAAUCUAUACCAACGACGGAGUUAAGACCACCAUCGAACUCCUGGAGACUCCACGAUCACGUAGACACCAAUUUCAGGUAAGUUUUACUUCGGAAAACCUAGAUUCUAAACUCCCUGUGAAAGUGCACUGUUCAUGAUCUUCGAAUUGACUUUGUUUUAGGACAAUCCAAGCUCACAGUGAGCUUAGUAAGGUUCCAAGGAAGCUCGGAGUGCUUCGUUGGAAGUUUUUGGACGUAAGAACUCGGAGAUCGACAAGUUCAAAGUUUGGCCGGAGCUUUCGAGGCAUUUUCCGGCGAAUCCCCGGCGAGUUAGGAGUCGAGGUAGGUAUCAAUCUCUUCGUCUCGUCAAGUACUACAACUUUCCUUUUUGUUUCACUCAAUUUCGUUGAGUAUUGAAGAAGUUAUACUCAUUUGAAAAAUACCCAGUUUCCGGCGACCUCCGAGGCUUUCGAGGCAGUUUCCGGCCAAACCACGGCGAACUAGGUGUUGUGCAAGGUACCAUUUUCUUUGUCUCUUCAAGGGCUACAACUUUCGUUUUUGAAUCACUUGAUUUCGUUGAGAAAUGACAAAGUUAUGACAAUUUGAAAAACUGCCCGGAAAACGGCCGCCGGAAAAACCAGUCCGGCGACCCAAGGAAGAAGAAGGUGCUACAGUUAAAAAAAAAAAAUUAAAUAAAAUUAUUUUAAAAAUAUGUCGACGUCCGUGACGUCGAGUAGAUCACCGUGGUAUAUUCAUAUACCCAAUUUGAGCACCGUAUGAGAAAGUUAUUAAGGAUUGUUGGUUAGGUGUUCGAAUAACGUUUUAUAGUUUUGGUGAAAAUGUGAAUUGACGAUCCGACCGUUGGAUCGUUACCAAACUUUGAUACGUUGUAAUACGUAAUAUUUUUGAGGAUUAUUGGAACUUACGGAUUGGGAAUCCGAGUUACGGAUCUUCCGGAAUUGGAAUUGUAAGUUCCAUAAAAUAAAAUGUUAACCGUCACUUAGUUUUGGAAAUUGACGGAGAUCCGACCGUUGGAUGGUAAUGAAAUUUUAGGAAGUUGUCCUAGAGGUAUAUUGUGGACCUCUGGAAGUUAUGGAUUUAAAAUCUGAGUGGCAGAUCUUCCGGAUCGAACUACGUAGUGACGUAUUUUAUAUAAGUUAUAUAUUCUAUCGACUAUGAAUUCUGAGGUUGGAAUUAAUUAUUGUUUUAGGCGCCGAUCGUCAUGACGCCUUGGCGUAUUGUGCUAGGGAGUUGUAGGGCGAACUCCAGGUGAGUGGGGCAGUUUUGUUUUCCGUAUACAUAUAUACUUGCCGUUUCCCAGAAAUUGAAAAUGCAUGAAAUUAUGCUUUUAAAUGAAAAUGUAUAAAAGUAUAUGAGAUAUAUUAGUUGAGAUGCCAUGCAUAAAAGUAUAUGAAAAGUAUAUAGAAAUGUGAAUCGAAUUGCCAUGCAUGAAAUGAUAUAUGAAAAGUAUGAAUUGAGAUAUGAUGCAUAUGAAUGUGAAAUGGUGCGGCGGACGCACAGAUGAGUAUCAGGUGAGUAUUUAAUUACUGUUAUGAUGAUGUUGAUAUAUAUUGAGCUCAAAUCCUGCACCAUGGUUUAGUGCUUAUAGUAUUCACCGCAUCGCACGCUCGCCUUGGAUCCAAGUAGAUGCUAGUCGUACAGUCCACGCGGAGUGGGUACGACAGGCCAGUCGCGAGAGUGUUAGUGAGAUUCCGACUGGUGGGUGACCUUAGAUUAUGUGCACAGAUGAUUGAUGAGAAAGCACUAGAGCGUAACUUGUGUGCAGAAGGCCGGACGGGUCACAGAGGUGACUCCGGUAGAGUGAUAGUGAUAGAUUUUGAGCUCUAGGUUCAACCGUACAGGGCUAUUAGAGGGCCUCCGGUUGAUUACUUUCUUGCACCUGAUAUGAUUAUUGUUGAUGCAUUCAUCCAUAUUUAACUGUUGAAUUAGACAUGGCAUGGCAUGUUUGAUAAAGAAAAAUGUUGAAAUAGUAAAAAUGAAGUUUUGAGAAUAUAUAUGUAUAUUUUAUAUUUUACAUUUCUGGGAAAGUAUACAGGUUUUACGGAGAGGGGUUACAACGUUUUGAGAAAUGUUUGGAUUUGGAAAAGAAUUGUUUUACUGACCCACUCAAUUUUGGUUUUGCGCCCCUCCAGGUUCAAGAAUCACAAAGGUGUGGUGACUACGAGGAAUUCGACGGUGUUCUGACAGAUUGGACAAAAAUUAGGACUCACCUUCGGGUGUAUCAACUUAUAAAUUGUAUCUUAAAGCUUCCGUACUGUGCAAAUGGUUACGUCACUCUCACGUGACGGCCAGCAUGCCCUCCUUCGGGAUGGGGUGUGUCAGUUGGUAUCAGAGCAUGGUUGCAAUCUUGGACAUUUUGAGAAGUUCUAGUGAAUUCUGUCAGAACUACACCGCCUCGUAGCAAACCACGUAGUUAGAGGAACUUAGUCUCCCUGAUUUAGCGGUUUAGGGGGAAACUAUUAUUAUGGUGAUUCAGUAUAUUAUCAAAAUGGACAUUUUAAGAUGGGUAAUGAGUUGAACUUGAAUCACCUAAGAGAAAUGAUGAACCUGAGGGAGCGAAGUAACGGUUUAACCAUUUGGAAAAGAUGUUUCAGAUUAUGCAAGUCAAAGGAAUCUUCCUUCUGACAGGGGGUCGAGACGACUACCUGGUUUUUCGGUAAUGAAUUUGCAUCCUGGUGGAAACAGGAAUGUUAAUUGUUGUCACCAGAGGAAUCAGCCGAUUUAAAAUUUUUUAUGGAAAAGUUUAUCCCUCCGGCAUUUAUUGAUGGUAGUAAACAAGAGUUUACAAAUAUGAGACAAUGAAGGUGAUGAUCGAGGGAUAUUAUAGAAAGUUUUUAGACUUGCCUCGUUCCAUCCAGAUAUUGUUGUUAAUUUGGUGGAGGUGUUAUGUUGUUUUAAGCUGGGUGGCAAAAAGGGAAGUGGUAAUUUGGGUGACCACUAUCCAUUGUAUUUCUUACCAAGAGUAUACAAGAUGUUGUUGAGCCUUGAGGACUCUGAGAAUAUGAUCAGCUAGAGUAAAAGAAGAAUAAAGAAAAGAUUGGGAAUUAAAAAAGAAGACGAUAAAGUUAAUGAUUCGUCAUAUCAAGGAUAUAGAAAGAUUCAGAGCUUCAAAAGAAGUGAAGCUAGAGUUAAUUCUUCCAGCAGAGGUUUUAAUGUCGCUGGUCAGAAUAAAAGUGAUGGAUAUACUGGUAAUCCCAGAUAUUUGAGACAAGGUGUCUCGAGUAAAGGAAAUAUACUUUGUGCAGCAGGUACAAAAUUAACACUUUGGGAAGUGUGAAAUUAAUGAAUGUGUUUAUGUGAACAGAGGGGACACAGAAUUGUGAAUCGUCCAUAGAAUCAGUUGUACUCAACAAUUUUCCAUGAUAUCAUAGUGUCGAUUCAGCAGAGUUAUGGACUUAGUAGUUUGGUCGGAUUGACCGUGAGUAUAGAGAGAUUUGAUGAGUUAUAUGUUCAGCUGUACAGACCAUGAGAAGUGGAUUCGACUGACACAUGAGAAAUUGGUGAGUUAUAGGCUCGGCCGUACCGACCACGCGGAGUGGAUCCGGCCGUAUUAUUGAGAUAAUUGUUGAAUCAGCCGUACGGGUCAUUCUAGUUGACUUCGGCUGAUAUAUUUCUUAUUAUGUAUGUUAUUACCUUGAGAGUAGUAAAUAAAUGUAGUUGAGAUGAGUGUAUGUAUUUUGCAUUGAGUGACAAAAUAGUAAUGUUAUAUCUUUGAGAGUGGUUGCCUACUUAUCGAGACAACGAUGAUUUAUCAGUAUUGCGGGCUGCAGACCGUAAUAUUAAUAACUCAUUCGUGGAUUCGUUAAGCAAGCAAACCGGUAGAUUAUUUUAUGUUAGUAUAAUAAAAUAUAUAUUGUAUCAGUUAAUUCUGUUCCAUUAGAUUGGUUGGUUAUAAUUGUGAUAAGACGGAAUGUUACGGGAAACCAGUACUUUCCAUCGAUCUGGAUGACCAGAGAUUACUUUUGUAAGUAUGCAAAAUGGAUUGAGUCAGGCCGUUAUUAAUGCUGUGAGAGCAAAUAGAUUGUUUUCGAAAGGCUGUCAAAAAUACUUAGCUCAUGUGGUACUAAAGGAUGUUGCUCGGAGAAGUGUGAAAAAUGAAAAAGGGGUUAGACUUUUUUUGAUGUCUUCCUUGAAAGUAUACCUGGAUUGCCUUCAGGCAGAGAUAUGAGGUUCACUAUUGAAUUUGUUGCCAGGUAUAAUAAAUCUUAUGAUAGAGAUUGGUUCAUGAUGAGUUAAGUGAAUUGGAAAUUCAGUUGAAAGAAUUGGUUGAUAAAAAAUUUCAUUCAACCUAGUACAACACUUUUAAGGAGCACCAGUUUGUUGGUGAGAAAGAAAAUGGACUUAGAGAUUGUUCAUUGAUUAUAGACAAUGGAAUUGGUAACGAUCGAGAACCGUUAUCCAUGAUAGUGUACUGAUGUUUAGUUGAUAAGCUCAGAGAUGUUUGUGUAAUUUCAAAGAUUGAUUGAGGUCUGGUUAUUACCAAUUGAAGAUUUUGAGCGACAUUGAUCAUAAGAUGGUUUUCUGGAUUUGUUAUGAUCUUUUAUGAGCUUUGGUGAUGCUAUAAGAAAACUCACGUUGUUUUAGGAGUUUAUGGAUGAAGUAUUCCACGAAUGUCAUGAUAAAUUGUUAUCAUUUGUCAUUGACGAUAUUCUGGUACAUUCUGAGCCAGAGCAGAGCAUGUAAACAUAUUAAGUUGGUGAAGCAAAGAUUGGAAGAAUGUCGAUUGUAUGCAAAGUUUAGCAAAUGCGAAUGUUGGAUGAAUCAGGUGGUAUUCUGAGAUUUGUUAUAUACUCUUAAGGUAUUCAAGUGAAUCCUUAAAAGAUAGCAGAAAUUGAGAAUUUGGAACAACCACGAGUCGUAAUUGAGAUUUGGAAUUUCUUAGCUUACCAGGCUAUCUUGGAUGGUUGUGAAAGAUUUUUUUUAGUCAUUGAUUUGUCAUUGAUGAGACUGUUGAGAAAAGAGAUUAUGUAUGAGUGGGAAGGAAAUUGUGAGCAAAGGAUUCAAUAACUGAAGUAUUUCCUCACUCAUGCACGUAUUUUUUGGUAUUCCCAGAGAAAAUAGUGGUAAUCAUAAAUUUUUAGUGAUGUUUCUUGAAUGGUAUUGGAGGCAUGUUGAUGCAAAUGUUAGGGUGAUUGCAUACGUUUCACGAUAAAUGGAAUCUCAUAAGAUGAAUUACCCUACUGGUGAUUUGGAAGUCACGAUUACCAUUCUUGCUGUGAAGUUAUGGAGACAUUAUAUUUUAGUGGGAAUGCAAGAUUUUUUUUUACGAAUCCAAAAAGUCUUCAAUAUCCAUUACUUGGAAGGAUUUUGAUAUGAGGCAGCGAAAGUGAAUUGUAUUGCUUAAUGAACAUGAUUGUACGAUCAGGGUGAUCGUAAAAUUUGUUCUAGCUGAAGCACUUGGUGAGAAGACUACAGUAAGAUUAAUAUCUGGCACGUUUGCCAAGAGUAUCAUUUUGUGGAUUGAAAACCAACGGAAGAAAAAUUAAGAAUGGAAGAUCGAGAAGAAGUUAUACUUGUUAAGUAACAAGUUAGUACAUUUACUCCAGUGUUGAGUAACAACCUUUCCCAGACAGUGCAACACUACUUAUUUGUUUUAUGGAAAAGAGAAUUGGAUUACGGAACUGCUAAGUUUCUUAAGUAUGUUGGUUGUGCAGUUUCCGAAGUAACGCCAUAAGGACCAUGAAAAUGUGUCACGUGAGUCGGUUUUUGAUGACUUGUGAAUGGAAUGUUUCUGGGUAGAGAAAGAUUCGAUCGAGAAAGAGUUUUAGUAGACCCUGAGACUAUGGAUGAGUCUCCUUAAAGUAUUCAGGUGAUUAAGUUAACCUGAAGUAAUCAGGAAAUGGCAAAAGAGAUCAACAGAUGGAUAUGCCACUAAUCAAGUGUAUAAGACAGAUGGUUUUAUAUUUUCGAAGUUUUCACCUUGGAAAAGUGUGAUUCGGUCUGGAUAGGAAGGCGAGUUAAAUCCUAGGUGAACCGAAUUUUAUGUGAUCAUCGAAGGGUUGGUGAAGUUGAAUACAGAUUUAAAUGGCUUCCAGAGUUGUUGUAAGUACAUGAUGUGUUUCAUGAUUCGAUAUUUUGGAAAAUUCACCACGAGCAGAAAUGGCGAGAAUUGGAAAGGAGACAAGAUAAGAUUUAGACACAUCAGACCAUUUUUGAUCACUAAAGGAAUCAAUAAAGUUGCAUACAAGUGGUGAUGUCUUCAGAGUUGGCUAAGGUACUUAAUGUAUUUUGGGUUCGAUACGUUGUCACUAGGUGGUAGAUUCGUCACAUGAGAUUCUGGUGCAACUAUUGAGAAUUAAACUGGAUUUGAUUGAUAAGGAACUAAGGACGAUUUUGGAUUGGAGAAAGGAAGUCCUAAGAAUUAAAACAGUGUAAGUGGUAAAAGUUGUGUGAAGAAAUUAUUCGGUGGAAGAAAUUACGUGGGAGAAGAGAAUCGGAUGAGAGAGAUUUACCCGAAGCUAUUGUUGGAGUAUGGUUGAUUUAGUUGGUUGCUGGAAUUUCGGGGACGAAAUUCUAUAAGGUGGGUAGAUUGUCACAGCCCGUCCCAAAGUUUUACACUCGUGAUUGUAAAUUGACGGAAUUUCCCUUAAACGUGAUUAAGAUAUGUGAAUCAUAUAUUGGUGAAAUAUAUGUUUCUAAGUUAUUUGGAGAUGGAAUUUUAUGAUUUGGGGUUAGGUAGGACCACACACCUCAAAUCCCUCCCUAUUUCCCGUACCCUGUCUCUCUCUCUCCUCCCUCACAAUCUCUCAUUCUCUGUCUCUCUCCCUCUCCUUCGAACUCACACAGACGAGCUCCAAAACCACCCUAAAUCUAUACCAACGACGGAGUUAAGACCACCAUCGAACUCCUGGAGACUCCACGAUCACGUAGACACCAAUUUCAGGUAAGUUUUACUUCGGAAAACCUAGAUUCUAAACUCCCUGUGAAAGUGCACUGUUCAUGAUCUUCGAAUUGACUUUGUUUUAGGACAAUCCAAGCUCACAGUGAGCUUAGUAAGGUUCCAAGGAAGCUCGGAGUGCUUCGUUGGAAGUUUUUGGACGUAAGAACUCGGAGAUCGACAAGUUCAAAGUUUGGCCGGAGCUUUCGAGGCAUUUUCCGGCGAAUCCCCGGCGAGUUAGGAGUCGAGGUAGGUAUCAAUCUCUUCGUCUCGUCAAGUACUACACAACUUUCCUUUUUGUUUCACUCAAAUUUCGUUGAGUAUUGAAGAAGUUAUACUCAUUUGAAAAAUACCCAGUUUCCGGCGACCUCCGAGGCUUUCGAGGCAGUUUCCGGCCAAACCACGGCGAACUAGGUGUUGUGCAAGGUACCAUUUCUUUGUCUCUUCAAGGGCUACAACUUUCGUUUUUGAAUCACUUGAUUUCGUUGAGAAAUGACAAAGUUAUGACAAUUUGAAAAACUGCCCGGAAAACGGCCGCCGGAAAAACCAGUCCGGCGACCCAAGGAAGAAGAAGGUGCUACAGUUAAAAAAAAAAAAAUUAAAUAAAAUUAUUUUAAAAAUAUGUCGACGUCCGUGACGUCGAGUAGAUCACCGUGGUAUAUUCAUAUACCCAAUUUGAGCACCGUAUGAGAAAGUUAUUAAGGAUUGUUGGUUAGGUGUUCGAAUAACGUUUUAUAGUUUUGGUGAAAAUGUGAAUUGACGAUCCGACCGUUGGAUCGUUACCAAACUUUGAUACGUUGUAAUACGUAAUAUUUGAGGAUUAUUGGAACUUACGGAUUGGGAAUCCGAGUUACGGAUCUUCCGGAAUUGGAAUUGUAAGUUCAUAAAAUAAAAUGUUAACCGUCACUUAGUUUUGGAAAUUGACGGAGAUCCGACCGUUGGAUGGUAAUGAAAUUUUAGGAAGUUGUCCUAGAGGUAUAUUGUGGAC
rnacentral:lncRNA from 1 species